CAAUACGUCAGCGGCAGACGGGUGAGUAACGCGUGGGAACAUACCUUUUGGUUCGGAACAACCCAGGGAAACUUGGGCUAAUACCGGAUAAGCCCUUACGGGGAAAGAUUUAUCGCCGAAAGAUUGGCCCGCGUCUGAUUAGCUAGUUGGUGAGGUAACGGCUCACCAAGGCGACGAUCAGUAGCUGGUCUGAGAGGAUGAUCAGCCACAUUGGGACUGAGACACGGCCCAA
rnacentral:rRNA from 1 species